CGAUAAAUCGAGUUGGAAUGUGGAUUGGGGUUGAAAUUUGGUUAGUUUCGAAGACGAAACUCUUUUUAAGGAGGGGAGGAUGUAAGGUAUCGAACUUCUGUUGUAAGGUACCGAACUUCUAAAAUUAUGAAGUUACGAUGGAUGUAGUAUGCUGGAUUUUUAAUACAAAAAUAAAUAUAAAUAAAAAUAGUGUGAGAUACUAUUUUUAUUGGACUUAAGGGUGUAAAGUAUAAGUUGGAAAUGACCUAUGCUGAAAUCGGAGCGAAAACAGAAGAUUUAAAAUUUUCUGUGAGAGACGGGGCAGAUAAAUUAGCAGAAAAUGUACAGUGUCAGAAAAUUAUAAAAACUGGAGGAUAUGUCAAAAUUAUUUUUGUGAGGCUAGAAUUAAAGUUUCACCUCAUUCUGACACCCGAAAGGUGGAAAAUAAAAUCGAACUGCUAUCUGCUAGAGAUUACAGUUCAGUAGGGCUUUCGGUGACCAAACGGUGUCGAAACUGAAAGAUUAAAAAUUCUUUCGUUAAGUUAAGUAAAACCGAGCAUGACUGCCAAAUUUGAGCUCAAACGGACAUUCAGAAGGGCAGGCGAAA
rnacentral:lncRNA from 1 species